CCUGGGUGGAUGAAUAUAAGCAAUUGUACAAUGGACAGAGACUGGCACUGCUGUUCUGCUCACGGUGGUCUAUUGUGAAUAUGACCUUCAGAGACUGCUAAUGUUCUGCAAAGCUUAUUCUGGCAGAAGGAGAAAGUUUAGGCUGUGCCAUAUGGAAAGGGAGCAGUCAAUAAAUGCAGAGCUAGAUUAUCAGUGCAUACAUUUGAAUUGCCAUAAAAUGCUGAGACUACAACUAUCUGAAAUUGUCAGCAUCCGAAAUACCACUUUCUGAACAUCCAUAGUGUCAGCUGCAUCAGGCAGCCAUGGUAUAUCUGGAUUGCAGCAGCAGAUCAGAUGCAGCAGAUGAAAUGAAGAAGAUUCAAAACAGACAGUGAAUGAGUUCCUACAGAUAUGCAGAUAGUGGGACUGCAGUAUGACACAGCUGGUCCUCCAGCCUGCUCUGAAAUUUUACAAGAAUCCCCUGGAAAGAAAUGAUGGCCUACAUCUGAAUUUUGGAGUCAAAAUAAUCGUUGUGUCCUGGAGGAAUAGGAUGUCAGUGAAAAGAAAAUGAGCUUAAAGGUAAAUAAUUCAUGUUGACUGUUGUUACGAACAAGAGGUAGGGCAGGAAAUGCUGUUUCAGGUAAUGCCCCUGAAUCUUGCCAUAUCAGCUGUCAGCAAAGGAAAAUGAGAAUCUUUGAAAGUAACAUAUGGCUAAACUUUGUGCUGCUAAAAACCUUCCUACCCAAACUCUCUUACA